UACGGGGGGAGCAAGCGUUGUUCGGAUUUACUGGGCGUAAAGAGCGCGUAGGCGGUCAGCACAAGUCAGUUGUGAAAUCUCCGGGCUUAACUCGGAAAGGUCAACUGAUACUGUGCGACUAGAGUGCAGAAGGGGCAACUGGAAUUCUCGGUGUAGCGGUGAAAUGCGUAGAUAUCGAGAGGAACACCUGCGGCGAAGGCGGGUUGCUGGGCUGACACUGACGCUGAUGCGCGAAAGCCAGGGGAGCGAACGGG
rnacentral:rRNA from 1 species